rnacentral:lncRNA from 1 species
ACAUACAUUGUAAAGGAAUCGUUUAGUACCAUAUACAUGAAUAUAGAAAUGUAAUGACUACUCUAUUAACAUAAGACGUUCGAUAUAGAGUUGUGAACGGACCUAACAAUUUACAUCUACCAUCUUUUAUUAUCUCUGUCGCAGAAAGCACACUUCGUUGUGAACUGCAGUGUUAUAGUGAGAACCUUUGACACAGAAGACAAUUAUUUCUAAAAUAUGUUCUAAAAUAACGUAUCGCUUUACCGUAUGCAUGUACAUAGUAUAACGUUAGUUGUUAUCUAUUAGAUUUUUGAUCCCCGUACAUUGCUAAAACUGCACAAUGCGACACCCGGGUAUACGACUAUUAAAAAACCUCCAAUACAACAAUGUUGAUAAACAAAGAUUAUUUGUGAUAUCUACAAGCAGUGUCACAAUAAAACUGAAGAUUUUGAUUUUGUAUCGCCUAUGAAAAGUAAUUUAUUCUGCAAACAUGCAGUGCCACGGAAACUCUAACUAUCUUUUAUUAAGAAGCUGCAUAUGUGUUAUUUCGUUUAAACAAUUUGUAACUACAGUUUGAAUCCCCUUUUUAACAUGGACAUAUUAUACACUUGAUGAGAUUGUUUGCGCGGCUCAGUUCUCAGUUCACAUGUUUGACAAAUGGCACUAUAAAACGUUGGUAAAAAUAUCAAAAACAGCCUUUUUAAUUUGGAAUAGUAUAUGCCCAAUGACGGUUUGGCAGAAACCACAAAAAAGUAUAGAUUGUCAAUAACAUGUCGCACAUACCGGGCCCUAGUUCAAGAUCAAAGAUAAUUGCCGCCUUGGAAUGUCUAGCGGAAUGAUUGACACCUGUUAUCACUGUAAAUGUCUUGUCAAGGCUUGACUAACGAUGACUCAACGCCAAUUUAAAGAGGACAUUACCACAUGUUUAUUGAUAAACAUUGAGAAUAACCAUAGACAGUAUGGCGCCGCUUAAUUUGACUGUCUGCCGCUUUCACACUGAUUUGACAAUAUGCAUAGGUAACACGCGUUACUGCCGCAUGAGUUUGUUAUUUUCUAUGAUGGGUAGUGAUACGUGUGCGAUUUAUUUGCAAUGAAACUUAGCCAAUUCUCUAUGACAUCGGCAUUUGUGCACGGGAACCACGGCGUGUAUGUUUAUUUCUCUCAAAUCGUAAACGUAAUUAUUAAUUACUACAGUCACCUACUACAAUAUUUUGGGUUAUUUGUCAUUUGGAUAUUUUCUUAAUAACUUAAGACAAAUAAUUGAUAUAUGAAUUAUUUAUAUUAAUAUGAAUUCAGGCUCUUGAAAUAGAGUUUAUUAACAUCAUUCCUCUAUUUGGCUGGCAUUUUGAGUAGAUUGUUCUGACUAAAUCUAGUUCCACCAUGCAAACUACAUGUUUUCCUCUGAAUUUAUAAUCAGUAUCUCUUCAAUUGUAAUUAUUCUACCUGCGUUUUAUGUUAUAAGAAAACCGAACAGUUAUCAUCAUUCGAUAGGACAAAGGCUUAACUAUGCUUCUUACCCAAACUACCAAACUAAGUAUUCAGAUGUGUGACCAUAUCCCUACAAACACGCUAAAACCAAGCAAUCCCAUUUCACUUACAUAUUGUUUGAAACACAUGCUAGUCAAUCGCAAAAUACUGAUUCGCAUUUUAGAUUCAAGGUAAGCAAUGCAUUAUAUACUUACAACAUAUUUAUCAUGUUCAAUUUAAGGAUCCGAAUACCAGAUCGACGAGGAGGACAAGAGUGACACAUCGUCGGAAUUUGCCACCAAUUACCAGAGUCCAGUCAAGCGCAAGAACAAAAUCUUGAGACAAAGGGAAGAAAAUGGAA